AACGUAGGAGACAAACGUUAUCCGGAGUUACUGGGCGUAAAGGGCGUGCAGGCGGUCGACUAAGUCUGGCGUGAAAGCUCUCGGCUAAACCGGGAGAGGUCGUUGGAUACUGGUUGACUAGAGGACGGUAGAGGCGUGUGGAAUUCCGGGUGUAGUGGUGAAAUGCGCAGAGAUCCGGAGGAACACCAGUGGCGAAGGCGACACGCUGGGCCGUACCUGACGCUGAUACGCGACAGCAUGGGGAGCGAACGGG
rnacentral:rRNA from 1 species